rnacentral:rRNA from 1 species
UGGGGAAUAUUGCACAAUGGGGGAAACCCUGAUGCAGCGACGCCGCGUGAGCGAAGAAGGUUUUCGAAUCGUAAAGCUCUGUCCUAUGAGAAGAUAAUGACGGUAUCAUAGGAGGAAGCCCCGGCUAAAUACGUGCCAGCAGCCGCGGUAAUACGUAUGGGGCGAGCGUUGUCCGGAAUUAUUGGGCGUAAAGGGUACGUAGGCGGUCUAUUAAGUCAGGUGUGAAAGCGUGAGGCUUAACCUCAUUAAGCACUUGAAACUGAUAGACUUGAGUGAAGGAGAGGAAAGUGGAAUUCCUAGUGUAGCGGUGAAAUGCGUAGAUAUUAGGAGGAAUACCGGUGGCGAAGGCGACUUUCUGGACUUCAACUGACGCUGAGGAACGAAAGCGUGGGUAGCAAACAGG